rnacentral:misc_RNA from 1 species
UUGCGCAGACACCUAACUGGGACCCCCCCCUUUGAGUAGCGGGACCGACUUUUCUUUCAUCGAUUCUUCAGCAUGUUUAAAGCAGGUUAACUUUGGAGAUAUGAAAUUGAAUUUGAAAUGCAAAAAUCAAACUAGAGAGACACACUCGCUGAUAAUUAUUCCUAAAAGGGGAGCUUACCCACACAUAUGUGACACAGCUUGUAAAAAGAUGAAUGAAACAUAUGAGUUGCGAAUUCCCGAGAAUACCACAGUAGGAUCCACCGUGAUGAACUUCACACUGUGUAGUGCAGAUAUCAAUGCCAAGCCUUCAUCAAUUGCUUUGCAGAUUUCUGGAGAUAUUCUUGCUGAAAAUAACAAAAUCAGAGUUUAUUUGAACAAAGAAGUCGACUACGAAAAUCAGCCGCCGGAAUUAAACAGCACAAUGAGUAUCAAUGGAAAGGUUGCAGUGAAUAUAAAAAUCAUUAUAGAAGAUUCUGAUGAUCUUGGAAUAGCAUUCACCAAAUCAUUCUUCAACUGUAGCGUUCCAGAAAAUGAAAAUGGAACUGUGCAAGGCUGUGUUGUAACUGCAAAAGAUCUAGAUACUGGUAUCAAUGUCAAGAUUAAUUACGAAUUACUUUCAGUUACACCGGCUGACGGACGUCUUAGUUUGCUUCCGAACGGAAGUUUAAUGUUGAACAAAGCUCUUGAUAGAGAAAUGACCUCUGUCUACUACCUAAGCAUAAAGGGCUUUCAGGUAGAUCGGCCACUUGAUCGGAUUAACUAUACAACCAUGUUGGUCACCGUGACAGACACGGACGAUAACCCUCCAGUAAUGAAGCAUACACAAUAUGACGUUUCUGUAAUGGAAAACAGUCCAGUAGGAACAAUUGUUUGUCAAGUUUUAGCUACAGAUAAAGACGAGGGCGAAAAUGCGGAGAUGGUAUAUAAGAUUGUUGGUAACAGUGAUUUGUUUAAAGUUGAAAGUCAAACUGGUCUGGUAAAAGUGAAAUCGUUGAUUGACAGAGAGUCCACAGGAGAUGGGCCAAUACCGCUAAAGAUUGAAGUAUCUCCACCUAAUAAUCCAAAGAAAUACAGCUCUACCUCUACUGUGAGUGUCAUUAUCCUGGAUGAAAAUGAUAAUUCGCCUAACUUUGGAAAGGACAAUUUACCUGUUAGUAUCAACAAGACACAAGCAUUAAGCGUCACAAUCGCUCAGGCAAACGCUACGGAUCCCGAUAAAGAUGAGAAUGGAACGGUAUCGUACCACAUUGAUAACUCAAAUUCUCCAUUUACAAUAGAUUCAACUAAUGGUGCUAUAACUCUGGCGAAGUCGUUGAAUGAAUCAUUUGAAGGAACAUAUCAUAUCUUUGUGAAAGCGACCGACCAGUGUGUAGAUGGAAAUACUAGAAGAUCCAGCGUCAUGAAAUUGACAAUAUAUGUGUCAGACGUUAAUAUUCAUACUCCAUGUUUCUUCCCCGAAUUACCCACAAACAUAAGCAUUUCUGAAGAUUCACUGGAUGGAACGACUUUGGUGGAAUUAAAGGCUGUUGACAAAGACCCGUCAGACAACGUUUCAUUUUCACUUUCUGAAGAUAAAGGAAAAUUUAUAAUCGAAGACAACCUGUUGAAGACGAAUGGUCAUCUGGACAGAGAAGAAACAGAGUCUUACACUCUUGUUAUUUCUGUAACCGAUACGGUACACGGUGAUAGAAGACAAUAGGGGAAACGAACAAUUUAUCUUUUGUGAGCAGGACCACAAUUAUGACUGCCAUGGGAACAAGAGAGAGUUCGAGCUCCACGAUUAGAGUAGACAUUAUGGAUGUCAACGACAAUUCACCAAGUUUUGGACAGAGCUCUUACCAGUUUAAUGUGACAGAGGAAAGUGAAAACGCA